rnacentral:rRNA from 1 species
CUGGUCGAGCUGGAUCCUAGUAAGUUGUAUCCUGGCUCAGAUUGAACGCUGGCGGUAUGCUUUACACAUGCAGGUCGAACGGCAGCAUAGGUGCUUGCACCUGAUGGCGAGUGGCGAACGGGUGAGUAAUGCAUCGGAACGUGCCCAGUCGUGGGGGAUAACGCAGCGAAAGCUGUGCUAAUACCGCAUACGAUCUAAGGAUGAAAGCGGGGGACCUUCGGGCCUCGCGCGAUUGGAGCGGCCGAUGUUAGAUUAGGUAGUUGGUGGGGUAAAGGCUCACCAAGCCGACGAUCUAUAGCUGGUCUGAGAGGACGACCAGCCACACUGGAACUGAGACACGGUCCAGACUCCUACGGGAGGCAGCAGUGGGGAAUUUUGGACAAUGGGCGAAAGCCUGAUCCAGCAAUACCGCGUGCAGGAAGAAGGCCCUCGGGUUGUAAACUGCUUUUGUACGGAACGAAACGGUGCGCUCUAAUAAAGUGCGCUAAUGACGGUACCGUAAGAAUAAGCACCGGCUAACUCCGUGCCAGCAGCCGCGGUAAUACGGAGGGUGCAAGCGUUAUCCGGAUUUACUGGGUUUAAAGGGUGUGUAGGCGGAUUUGUAAGUCANUUGUGAAANCCCCNANCUUAACUUGNGAACUGCNAUUGAUACUGUNAAUCUUGAAUACNGUUGANGUGGAUANAAUGUNACNUNUANNNNUNAANUNCNUNNNUNUNNU